rnacentral:rRNA from 1 species
GACGUAGGGCGCGAGCGUUUGUCCGGGAUUUAUUGGGCGUAAAGAGCUCGUAGGCGGUUUGUCGCGUCUGCUGUGAAAACCCGAGGCUCAACCUCGGGCCUGCAGUGGGUACGGGCAGACUAGAGUGCGGUAGGGGAGAUUGGAAUUCCUGGUGUAGCGGUGGAAUGCGCAGAUAUCAGGAGGAACACCGGUGGCGAAGGCGGUUCUCUGGGGCAUGUCCUGACGCUGAGGAGCGAAAGUGUGGGGAGCGAACAGG